CGUAGCCCGAGUGGUUUGAUAACAAGCAUCGGAACGACAUACCGUUGGUUAUUACCGCAAUAACCAACGGUUACCCGUCGAUUAUUUCGAUUCUAACACGAUUUCAUUAAUAAGUUAACCGCGAUUUAAAGGUUAUAAAUGAUAAUUAUAUUAACCGAACGUCCUCCACUUUUCCGCGAAAAUGUGACGUCACCACAACAAUUAAAAUCAAAUGACGUCAUCUUCAUUCAUAAACAGUGCGCGGACAAUCAAAGUGACGUCACUUUAAACAACCGUUGGUAUAUCGGGGUAAUAACCAACAGUAGUUUUCCUUCUUUGUAUAUAGAAAACAAGUCACGUGCCGUGGUAGAAUUAAUAAUACUCUAAUACUAUGUUCUACGGUGGUGUAUGUUCCAGCUGGUAUCAGCGGAUGUAUGAAGAAUUUGAGAAAAUAAGGACUUUGAACGCUCAAGAAAAAAGUGGUUUAUAAGUUUCCUUGCAUGCGGGCCUUUCCGGACUGUUGAACCAAUGGUGACUUCCAAAGAGCUGACUGAGCUUUCGUUUCAGGAUCGAAAUUACACAGCCGGGUCCCAUCGGUAGUCGCAAUUUUGUCUUGAAAAGAAUCCCCUUCCUUCGUAUCAAGAUACAAUAUAGGCCAUUAACAGUUCAAGCGUUUCACUCUCACUUAAUGUUGAAUAAGUUUGUUUAUACCUAUACAUGUCCACUAUGUUCAAUCGCUGUUUGUUUCGGGACAAUAAUAACAGCAAGUUCGGGCGGUUGCUGCUAGAGUUGCCCUUAGACUUCAAUGGCGGUAAGCAGCUCCUUGGUAACAGCAGAGAAUGCCGACGUGACCACAAGCUGAUGCAAAGCUCAGAUAACGAAAAAGUGUAAUUUAUGUGAGCACGCAUAGGAAACAUGUACACUUGGAGACUAUUCUAACGGAACACUUGUUAAACUUGAAUAUCUCAUUGAUGAGUAAAGGUUUUGAUGUUAAAUUUUACAAGUGAUCAGUUGACUACAUUCUUUGCAAGCUUACGAUAAAAUCAUUCAUUUAUGAAGAUCGUACGCUUAGAACGUGUGGUUGGUAUUGUUUUAUCCGUGUGCACAAGGACAUGGUGAAACGCGAUAUAAUAACACUUGUAUGUAAUCAUUCGAAUUGGGUUCUUACACCAGAAAAACACAAACUUAAUUAAAAGAACAAUAUGAUUCGCAUGCAUAUUCAGGAGCACAAUCGAUUUGAUUUAUAGUGAGCUCGCACAGAAUGUAGUUAUCCUAGAAUACGUAUGCGAAUUUUGCAAUAGACGUCAUUCCUUUUCUCGAAGUACUUCAGUUGGACGUAAUGAACGAUGUCAUAAGUGAUGGACCAGUGUUAGUAAUAUUACUUUCUGAACCUGAUCCUUUAAUACUGAACAAAUUACUAAAUAAACACUUAAGAGAAAUGUUCUUGUUUUAUGUAUGGUGGCUAAUUGUAAUUAUCAUUGCAAUUCCUAUCAAUUAAGUUGAUGUGACCGUUUCGAUAAA